ACCAAGACUAGAGUCACAUUCUGACACAGCUAUUGUCCCGGUGUGCUAGAGUUCUCAGAGAGAAUCUCUUGGUCUUGAUUCACUGGUGGGGGUGGUCAGUGUUCCUGCUAGUGCCCAGAUCAGAAACAUGU
rnacentral:snoRNA from 1 species